CCUUGUUGUUGUUGUCGUUGUCCUUUUGA
rnacentral:piRNA from 1 species